AUUGAACGCUGGCGGAAUGCUUUGCACAUGCAAGUCGAACGGCAGCACGGACUUCGGUCUGGUGGCGAGUGGCGAACGGGUGAGUAAUGUAUCGGAACGUGCCCAGUCGUGGGGGAUAACGUAGUGAAAAUUACGCUAAUACCGCAUAUGAUCUAUGGAUGAAAGCGGGGGAUCGCAAGACCUCGCGCGAUUGGAGCGGCCGAUAUCAGAUUAGGUAGUUGGUGGGGUAAAGGCCCACCAAGCCCACGAUCUGUAGCUGGUCUGAGAGGACGACCAGCCACACUGGAACUGAGACACGGUCCAGACUCCUACGGGAGGCAGCAGUGGGGAAUUUUGGACAAUGGGCGAAAGCCUGAUCCAGCCAUUCCGCGUGCAGGAUGAAGGCCCUCGGGUUGUAAACUGCUUUUGUACAGAACGAAAAGGUUUCUACUAAUACUAGGAGCUCAUGACGGUACUGUAAGAAUAAGCACCGGCUAACUACGUGCCAGCAGCCGCCGUAA
rnacentral:rRNA from 1 species